UUUUAAUAUCCUGCAUUUGAAAAAGAGACACUGAAAGGACAGUAAAAUAACACAGGGAAAAUGGAUAAGCGUGGACUUGGACUGCUUUUGAUCGUCUUGCUUUUAGUCUGUCAUAUUAAUGACACGGAGGCACAAGGUCAAUCGUGGGAACCAAACAGAGGCAAAAGAGAACUGCGCCAAGAGAAGGACCUUGAAAGAGAAGGCUUCAAGCUACUGGAGAAAUUGAAGGCCAUUUCAGGAGAGAAUAACUUUGGGGUAGCAGAAAGAAAGGAAAGGAAAAUCAUGAGGGGCACCUGGUAGAAAUUUGUGAAAAAGAACCUCUCUGCAGCUGUUAUUUGAUUUUAUUUUUAAAAUUAUGGAAUUUUUUUGUCUGUAAAGAAUCAACUCAGUUAUACAAUGUAUUUUCCCAAUGAUACGUAAAGCAUUUUAAAUCACCAAAAUACGUCAAUAUUUUUUCUUGAAAGUUUUCAAACAUACAGUCAUGUUCACAAUAGAUGACAACAGAAUUAUUGUAAAAUCACAUUUUCAUGGAGACAAUAUUAUUUUUGUGAGUGAUGAAAACAUUUUAGAUCAUGGAGUUAUGAUUUCAUGUCUGAUCACUCUCGUUGAUUUGUUUUAUAUCUGAAUUGAAUGUUUCAAUGAGAUAAUUAUUUCGCUGAAUCUCUUCCUAUCUUGAAAACAAAGAAUAUGAAGAAUUCCACGAAAAUCAAAGACUUUACAGUACUAGUGUUCCUGAAACAUUGAUGGCACAAGCGCUUGUAAUAUGUGUGUCAAAAGUAAAAUUCUUUAAUAUAUCCACGACUUAUAAUAGGCACAGAUUUAUAUAUUUUGUUAUAAUUAAGGAAAAAAAAUUGCAAAGUAAAAUGCUUUUCAAACGUAACGUAUCUUCAAGUUUUCCUGAUCAACUGUUACAAAACGAAAUGUACAGUACAUAUUAUGAUUAAAGCUAUCAACGGAUAUACAAUUCUUGAACUGAAUAAAUUUGUUGCACAGUC